rnacentral:lncRNA from 1 species
AAAAAGAAAACUCCCUUAAUCAGCACCAGUCCUCAGGGCUGUGUUAAAAGUGUCGUGUCCUGUAUACAUGGAGUUUCAAGAUUAAUGUUGUAUUGCACUCUCAAAUCAAGUACCAUGAUUUGGAAAUUAUGAAGUUGUUACAUCUUGGGAUUUCCUUUCUCUGAGUUCCCACAUCUGGAUGACCAAGGCCCCAGUCCACCAUUCAAAUAAUACUUUCUUUAGCUAUUCAUGCAUGGUUUUAAUUCCCCCCUAAACUUGUCCAAAGUGCUGGUUUUAAUAUUGAAAGCAUGUCUUAUUCUUUGUAUGUAGUUUCCUGCCGAAAGAGAAGAUAAUGGAAAGCGGGAAACGUACUGGGCAGCAUUUCUAGGUCAGCAGAGGGGUAGCAUCAUCUGGCUGGGAGAGGCCUCACUCCCCUUCACCCACCCAUGGCCACUGUCCUCUGACCCUUGUGAGUUGAUGGGGAUGGAGGCAGGGGUUAGGUAACUAUCUUUGUUUACCUACAAAAACAAACUUGUUAUAUUUUUGGUGGGGAAGUGGGUAUCUCUGUUUCCAU